GACGAACGCUGGCGGCGUGCCUAAUACAUGCAAGUAGAACGCUGAAGAGAGGAGCUUGCUCUUCUUGGAUGAGUUGCGAACGGGUGAGUAACGCGUAGGUAACCUGCCUUGUAGCGGGGGAUAACUAUUGGAAACGAUAGCUAAUACCGCAUAACAAUGGAUGACCCAUGUCAUUUAUUUGAAAGGGGCAAAUGCUCCACUACAAGAUGGACCUGCGUUGUAUUAGCUAGUAGGUGAGGUAACGGCUCACCUAGGCGACGAUACAUAGCCGACCUGAGAGGGUGAUCGGCCACACUGGGACUGAGACACGGCCCAGACUCCUACGGGAGGCAGCAGUAGGGAAUCUUCGGCAAUGGGGGCAACCCUGACCGAGCAACGCCGCGUGAGUGAAGAAGGUUUUCGGAUCGUAAAGCUCUGUUGUAAGUCAAGAACGAGUGUGAGAGUGGAAAGUUCACACUGUGACGGUAGCUUACCAGAAAGGGACGGCUAACUACGUGCCAGCAGCCGCGGUAAUACGUAGGUCCCGAGCGUUGUCCGGAUUUAUUGGGCGUAAAGCGAGCGCAGGCGGUUUGAUAAGUCUGAAGUUAAAGGCUGUGGCUCAACCAUAGUUCGCUUUGGAAACUGUCAAACUUGAGUGCAGAAGGGGAGAGUGGAAUUCCAUGUGUAGCGGUGAAAUGCGUAGAUAUAUGGAGGAACACCGGUGGCGAAAGCGGCUCUCUGGUCUGUAACUGACGCUGAGGCUCGAAAGCGUGGGGAGCGAACAGGAUUAGAUACCCUGGUAGUCCACGCCGUAAACGAUGAGUGCUAGGUGUUGGAUCCUUUCCGGGAUUCAGUGCCGCAGCUAACGCAUUAAGCACUCCGCCCGGGGAGUACGACCGCAAGGUUGAAACUCAAAGGAAUUGACGGGGGCCCGCACAAGCGGUGGAGCAUGUGGUUUAAUUCGAAGCAACGCGAAGAACCUUACCAGGUCUUGACAUCCCGAUGCUAUUUCUAGAGAUAGAAAGUUACUUCGGUACAUCGGUGACAGGUGGUGCAUGGUUGUCGUCAGCUCGUGUCGUGAGAUGUUGGGUUAAGUCCCGCAACGAGCGCAACCCCUAUUGUUAGUUGCCAUCAUUCAGUUGGGCACUCUAGCGAGACUGCCGGUAGUAAACCGGAGGAAGGUGGGGAUGACGUCAAAUCAUCAUGCCCCUUAUGACCUGGGCUACACACGUGCUACAAUGGUUGGUACAACGAGUUGCGAGUCGGUGACGGCAAGCUAAUCUCUUAAAGCCAAUCUCAGUUCGGAUUGUAGGCUGCAACUCGCCUACAUGAAGUCGGAAUCGCUAGUAAUCGCGGAUCAGCACGCCGCGGUGAAUACGUUCCCGGGCCU
rnacentral:rRNA from 1 species